GGUUUAAGAGCGUCUCCACGGUGGGCAGCUCUACUGUGAGCUGGGCUUAUUCUUCACAGGCUCAUGGAAAACUGGGCCUGUGGUGCUGCUGGGGUUUGGAGAGGUGUCUGAUCCAGCAAGGGUGGUCCACGGACUGCAGGCAGCUGGAGAGGACGAUACUUUUCAAUUCCAAAGAUCUGAGACGGGCAGUAGGGUCCAGGCAGAGCACCCGUAAAAAGGCGACUGUGUGGAAGCUCCGAAAAUUAAAGCUGGCAAGCAAGAAGGAGCCCGAAGUCAUUCUCGCACUGCUAACCAGUGGCA
rnacentral:lncRNA from 1 species